rnacentral:rRNA from 1 species
AUUGAACGCUGGCGGCAGGCCUAACACAUGCAAGUCGAACGGUAACAGGAAGCAGCUUGCUGCUUCGCUGACGAGUGGCGGACGGGUGAGUAAUGUCUGGGAAGCUGCCUGAUGGAGGGGGAUAACUACUGGAAACGGUAGCUAAUACCGCAUAAUGUCGCAAGACCAAAGAGGGGGACCUUCGGGCCUCUUGCCAUCGGAUGUGCCCAGAUGGGAUUAGCUUGUCGGUGGGGUAACGGCUCACCAAGGCGACGAUCCCUAGCUGGUCUGAGAGGAUGACCAGCCACACUGGAACUGAGACACGGUCCAGACUCCUACGGGAGGCAGCAGUGGGGAAUAUUGCACAAUGGGCGCAAGCCUGAUGCAGCCAUGCCGCGUGUAUGAAGAAGGCCUUCGGGUUGUAAAGUACUUUCAGCGGGGAGGAAGGGAGUAAAGUUAAUACCUUUGCUCAUUGACGUUACCCGCAGAAGAAGCACCGGCUAACUCCGUG